AAAAUAAAUCCCCCUUGUUCGUCUUUUCAUGAUCCGAAACCUACACGAAGUCGGAUCUCAAUCAAACAAACCUCUCGAGUUUUGUUCUUCCCCCAAACCCUAACCCCAACCCUAAUUCCUUAAUUCUUUCGCGAAUUCAGAAUCUCAAUUGUUUUUUACUUUGCCACAGCGAAUGGCUACUGAUUCCGGUGAACCAACGCUUCGCAAGCACCACCGAUCCUCCUCCACGGACGAUGCGGAGGAGCGUUCCAAACGCCGCAAACACCGACAUCACCACCACCGCCACCGACAUCACCACCGGCAUCGGAGCAGUAAAGAUAAGGAAGAUACGGCCACAAUAACUACAGAAGAAUUGGAAAGAGAGAGAAUUGAUGAAGUUGAGGCUGAAGAAAGGAAAUUUGAAAAUAAUAGGGACGAGGAUGGAAGUUCCUUGGCUGAGGUUUUGGUAUCGACCGCGUCGGAGUUCGCUAGGGUUGAUUAUGAAGUCGAGGAAGGGGAAAUUAUGGAGGAUGAUGGAUUGCCUGCUUUUGUUGAAGAGGAUUCGGAGAAGUGUAAGACAUAUAUGAAUACCGAUAUUGACUAUGGGGAAAUCAAGAUUAAUAGAUAUGAUGAUUCUAACAUGGGUGUUAAUGAAGAGAAUGUAGAAAGAGUUGAUAAUAAAGACAGGAAACUGAGAAAGGACAUUGUGGGUGAUAAAGAAGAUGGUGAAAUGAAUCACAAAGUUGACAAUGGACUUCUUUAUAAAGAUGGUAAGGGGAAAAUCGACUGUGUUGAUGAAGUUGAGCAAAUAAGUCGGCGGAAAUCUUCGUCUUCUGAGAGAAGGCCCAGUGCUGUUUCACGCCACCGCUCUCAUGAUAAGUACCUGAAAGAAAGUUCUCAUAUGAAUUUACCGAAGUCACCAGAACGGUCUAGGGGAAGAUCUCGGUCCAGAAGCAUUGCAAAAGCGGAUUCUGUGGAGGAUUCCUAUUAUGUAGAGAGGAAACGCCACAAUGAACCUGAUGAUGAAAGGGUGAUAGCACGUACCAAAAAUUACAGGCACAACAACAGAGAUGGUGUAAAGGAGAAAGAAUGGGAGCGUAGUUCUAGCAUAUAUCCAGAGAGAACAGGAAGACAUAAUGGCUCGGAAACUACUGAUGUAUAUAGGGAGGGAAGCAGGGAGAGGAAUUGGGAUGGAGAUAGAAAUAGAGAGAAAAAAAGGGAGGACAUGGAAAGGGAGAGAGAAAGAGACAAACUUCGAGAUAGAUAUAGAGGGGAGCGGGAGUUGGUGAAGGACAGGUCCAGAGACAGGGACAGAGAACAGGAGAGGGACAGAGAGAUGGGGAGAGAGAGGGAAAGAGAAAGGGGAAGGGACAGGGAGAGGGAGAAGGAUCGACUAAGAGAGGAGAGAAACAACGAUAGGGACAGAGUUAGAGAAGGGUUUGGCAGAGCGGCGAGAAGCAGAGAUAGAGAUAAUGAGAGCGAUAGGGUAAGUAGGCACCAGCGAUAUGAGAAGGAUGAGGGUGGUUAUAGGGAAAGGGAUAAUGAUUCCAGGCACGGAAGAAACUCUGAUGAUUAUCGUAGAGAGAGAACAAAGAGAAGCGAGUUAGAAAAUGCAAGCUUAAAAGAAAAACGGGAGGAUCGGGGUGAUGAGAAUCUUGAAAGGGAAGAUGACAGACAGGAGGACUAUCAAGAAAAGAUUGAAACACAACUAGCAGAACAGGAAGAAGAUGACCUAGAGAGAAUUAAGGAAGAAAGUAGGAGGCGCAAGCAAGCUAUCCUUGAAAAGUACAAAAAUAAACAGCAGCAGAAUGAAACCCAUUCACAUGAUAUAGUUAAGGAUCAAAUUGGAGAGUCUCCUGCACAAGUGGCAUCUGAUGAAGCUGUACCAUUAAAAGUUGACAACAGGAUGGAAGUGGCGGAUAAUUAUGUUCCAGAAAAAUCCUUUUCUCUCGGGAAAUCACCUUCAGAGAAUGGUCUUUCUUUUCAAUUGCCCACUGGAACUGGCGGACUAGGAGAGGGUACUCCUAAGAGCGAGAGAUUGGAUGAUAUGUUCUGUGAUGAUAUAUUUGGAGAAUCUCCUGCUGGAGUUCGUAAAGCGGGUAAAGGAGAUGGUGUGGCUAUUGAAAAGGGUGGAUUUCAUGACAACUGGGAUGAUGCGGAGGGUUAUUAUGGCUACCGCUUUGGAGAAGUACUUGAUGGCAGAUACGAGAUAAUUGCUGCCCAUGGAAAAGGUGUAUUUUCUACUGUUGUUCGUGCGAAGGAUCUCAAGGCUAGGCCUGGUGAUCCUGAAGAAGUGGCAAUUAAAAUCAUUCGUAACAAUGAAACAAUGUACAAGGCAGGUAUGGAAGAAUUGGUCAUACUAAGGAAGUUAGUUGGUGCAGACCCUGAGAACAAGCGUCAUUGUGUUCGUUUUCUCUCUACCUUCAAGUACCGGAAUCAUCUAUGUUUAGUUUUUGAAUCUCUUCAUAUGAAUUUACGUGAAGUUCUCAAGAAAUUUGGUCGUAAUAUUGGUUUGAAGCUUACUGCUGUGCGGGCAUAUGCUAAGCAACUCUUCAUAGCACUGAAACAUCUGAGAAACUGUGGUGUUCUUCAUUGUGAUAUCAAGCCAGAUAAUAUGCUGGUGAAUGAAGCAAAAAAUGUUUUGAAGCUUUGUGACUUUGGUAAUGCCAUGUUUGCUGGUAAAAAUGAAAUCACCCCUUAUCUUGUUAGCCGUUUUUACCGUGCCCCUGAGAUCAUUCUUGGCCUGACGUAUGACCACCCAUUGGAUAUCUGGUCAGUUGGUUGUUGUUUGUUUGAGCUUUACACUGGGAAGGUUCUAUUUCCCGGGGCCACCAAUAAUGACAUGCUACGACUUCACAUGGAACUGAAAGGACCUUUCCCAAAAAAGAUGCUUCGGAAGGGAGCAUUUACAGAUCAACACUUUGACCAGGACUUGAAUUUUCUUGCAACAGAGGAUGACCCUGUCUCAAAGAAGGUAAUAAGGAGACUGCUAGUAAAUAUCAAGCCAAAAGAUUUUGGCACAUUAAUAUCUGGAUCUCCUGGCGAUGAUUUGAAAAUGGUAGCUAAUUUUAAAGACCUUAUGGAAAGAAUUUUUAUCUUGGAUCCAGACAAGAGAUUGAAUGUAUCACAAGCCUUGAGCCAUCCUUUUAUCACGGGCAAGUGAACCAUGAUGCUGGUUCUCUGACUACAGAAUUGCUGUUGCAUUAGAUACUUGUACAUUUCAGUGAUGUCUCAAUUCUAAAUUAUCUAAUUGGGCAUUUAUCUGUCUUUGUCUUCUCUUUGCGGGAGCAAGAAUUCAGGAGAUAGUGACUGGGGCAUUGGUUGAAGUUCUUAGAGAUGAUCUUGAGGGAGCAAUUACCUGGGAGUUCUUUCCAUGGAUUAUUUUCUGUUUCUAUUGAGAUCUACCUAUGCUAUGAGGAAAUCGUUCAGUGGUUUAGAUGAUUAAAGGCACUCUGGAGAAGGUACCUUGGUUUGUUUCUUAGGAGUUUAAAUGUGGACCUUUGAGAACUAACAGCAUAUAUAUGUUUUAUGAAUGACUUUUUGAAUCAUUUGCCAAGAUUUGGAUAUCGGUAGUCUACUUUAGGAUAUCGAGUGUCGGGUGUUAUAUACUUCUUUGAGUUAUUGACAUGACUACCUUAAUGCUCUCACAUUGUCUUUUCAAAGUUUUAGGCAUAUAUAAAUGAACCUCUUACAACAAAAUCGAAUAUUUGUCAUUUCUGAUUCAUCUAUGGCCCGAACUUCUGAAGAUUGUUUUUUAUAAAUGUCCUUAGUAUUUGUCUGAUGUGGCUUAAGUUAUAUUGUGUGCUUUUUUGGGAUUAUGGAUGCUUAGUUGCUGCUUUUUAGAAUUUCAAUAGUAUAUUUAUCAUAAAGUUGUUGUCUGAUCCAUGGUUUGGUUGUUCUGGAGGAUUUUUAUGCUCCGGAGAUGUUCAGAUGCUGCUUUCAAGUGUGAAAACAUUUAUGGUAUUAUGGCAUCUAUAUCUCCGGUUAGUACCUCCUAUUUUUGCUCAUUGUCCUAUUCGAGUAUUUAUCUAGUUCUUUCUGAGGAAUUCAACUGUUUGGUUAGAAACUUUGAUCUACAUGCAACAAUGGAACUGACAUUCAUGUGAAUUGUAGAUCAAAGUUCUUGAUUAAUCUUUUGCAUUUUUGUGAAACUGAGAUUAUAACGUGAUGGUUAUCAUAAUUUUUUGACUGGGUGAACUUGUUGACUCAUAAUCUGAGUUAUGUUACUGUAACCGGCAGAUUUGUAUCCGUGUGACUAACCGAUAUGCAUUUAGGUCUUAACUUAAAAAACUAGUUUAUGCAAAGAGGUAGUAAACACUUUUCAGGAACAUAAUCAUGUUUCCACUUCUAGGCUCUUAUAAUUAGUCAUUGCAUUGAAAUGAAGCUCGUUUAGAACAUGAAGUUUGUACCAUUUUGCAAAAGCGUGUAUUGUUAAAUACAACUGUUACUUCAAGAGAGCUUUCUGGCUCAUAUUUCUAGAUUUAUCUGAUCUUAAUUGAUAGAUUUAUAGCAGUGUGGACGGACUUAUGGGCAUUUGUUCUUAAUUUAAAUAACGAGUUAAUAUGCAAGGUAGGAAAUGAUUUUCUACCUUACAGUUUUAAGAUUCCUUGGGGUUUAAUGUUAUGUUGUCGAGGGACAAAAUCUAUUUUGUGUGGGCAAUGGUAUUGUGAUAGAAACAAUCUACUUCUUUGGUGAAUAAGCAACAUAAUAUACAAGUGAUCUGGAGAAUGAAUAUCUUAAGAAAUGGCAGACUUUAGUGCAUCUACAAGUUCAGUAUUGUCCCGUGUAACCACACUUCGUUAUUACAAGUCUAUAAUUUAAUUUAUUUACCUCU